GUGCUUGCUUUGGCAGCACAUAUACUAAAAUUGGAACAAUACAGAAAAGAUUAGCAUGGCCCCUGUACAAAGAUGACAUGCAAAUUCAUGAAGCAUUCCAUAUUUUU
rnacentral:snRNA from 1 species